rnacentral:rRNA from 1 species
AGCGAACGCUGGCGGUAGGCCUAACACAUGCAAGUCGAACGGCAGCACAGUAAGAGCUUGCUCUUACGGGUGGCGAGUGGCGGACGGGUGAGGAAUACAUCGGAAUCUACUUUUUCGUGGGGGAUAACGUAGGGAAACUUACGCUAAUACCGCAUACGACCUACGGGUGAAAGCAGGGGAUCUUCGGACCUUGCGCGAUUGAAUGAGCCGAUGUCGGAUUAGCUAGUUGGCGGGGUAAAGGCCCACCAAGGCGACGAUCCGUAGCUGGUCUGAGAGGAUGGUCAGCCACACUGGAACUGAGACACGGUCCAGACUACUACGGGAGGCAGCAGUGGGGAAUAUUGGACAAUGGGCGCAAGCCUGAUCCAGCCGUACCGCGUGGGUGAAGAAGGCGUUCGGGUUGUAAAGCCCUUUUGUUGGGAGAGAAAAGCAGCAGGUUAAUACGCCGCUGUUCUGACGGUACCCAAAGAAUAAGCACCGGCUAACUUCGUG